GUCAGCACAGCCAGUUACCCACAUUUGCAGUUUCCCUGACUGCAGUUUGGCUCAUGUCCGUUUCAUCUGAAUGCAGACAGGUAAAGUUAAGACAACCUGGAGAACUGAGGCUCUAGAAGGAAGAGACUUUAAAGAGUUGACAGCGUGGAGCAGGAGCCUGCUUUUAGUGCACUGCGGUUUUGGAACGCUGACCAGAGCAAAAUGACGUUUCCAGAAAAAACAGAGACUUGAGCCAAUCUAAGCAAGAUACUUAAAGCGAGCAAAGCAAAGCAAGAGCCCGUUAACAGUUCAUAGCAAGAAACCAUGUUUUCUUUUCCACCCUUCUGCACCAGGAAACUUUGUCUGGAGGAUACAGGAGGAAUAAACAGCUUGCUGAGACUUCAUUGGACAUCUGGAGAACAUGGCAUCACACAGCUGAUGUACUUUUGUCUUUGUAGUGGAUUAAAAAAAAAAUCAAGGACGCCUAUGCCCUUUGGGUUACAGCUGCACACACCCUUUCUUUCCCUGUCUCUGUUCUUGGGAUCCUAGCCUUCUAUGUUUAAAAAAAAUGCACUGCAGUUUUUGAGUGUGUCAACAAAACCAGCGUGGUAUUUAAAUUUUUAAAUCAGCUAUGAAACUCACUGAGUGACUCUGGGCCAGUCACGUCUCUCUCUGCAUAACCUACCUCGCAGGGAUGUUGUGAGGAUAAACAUAACCAUGAAUACCACUCUGGGCUCUCUUGAGGAAGACUGGGAAAUACAUAAAUAAAAUAUUUACUGUGUUAUUUUAUUUAUAAAA